rnacentral:rRNA from 1 species
UACGUAGGCAGCAAGCGUUUGUUCGGAGUUUACUGGGCGUAAAGGGGUGUGUAGGCGGUUCUUUAAGUUUGGUGUGAAAUCUCCCGGCUCAACUGGGAGGGUGCGCCGAAUACUGAGGGACUAGAGUACGGGAGAGGAAAGUGGAAUUCCUGGUGUAGCGGUGAAAUGCGUAGAUAUCAGGAGGAACACCGGUGGCGAAGGCGACUCUUUUGGCCUGUAACUGACGCUGAGGCGACGAAAGCGUGGGGAGCAAACAGG